CGUCUGGGCAGAGGGAUCCUCCUCCCAUCAUCACUGGGUUUCUAUGUCAUUCCAAGUUUGGUGUACCAUGCCGAGUCACCAUGGUGGUGUAAGGAAGAGGAGGAGCCAAACCACAUGCCUCUUGCUGCAGAAGUUUCUCUGUUCACAUCCUCCUUUGGACAUUUGCUGGCUAAGUGCCUGCUCUGCGCCUUGUCUGUAGGAAACGGCUUGGCAGUUUCACCCUCUGGCUACCACAAUGUCUCCCCCAGUCAGAAGUAUGUCAUCUGUGAGCUGCCCACCUCUCAGCCUGCACACCUACACACAGAAGGAAGGCCUGAAAAAGAGAAAUUCCCUUGGGUAUCCCUAGGAAUGCAGUUGGGGAAGACUGAUGGAGGAAGCUGUGGUUUAAGUAGAAGUUAUGAGAAGAUGGAAAGCAACAUUGUGGCUCUGGUUCAGAACCCAAGAGAUCUAACACUAAUUUAGCUCCUCUGUUGCUUCCUGAGUAACCUCAGAGAAUAUCUCCAGGCUCUGGCUGUCCAUCUGUAUGCUGAGUUAACACUUCUCCUUCCUUCAGCUUUGUUAAGACCUGGUGUCUGAAGCAGUGGGGUUUGAUGUAAGACAGAAGUGAGCUCAAGUAAUUAGAGAGAGAGAUCUGCAAGUUAUCUAAGUGUAAAGUUAUUUGAAUGGGUUUUAAUCACCUGCAAAAUGCUACAUUCAGUACAUUACAAAAGCAUAAUGGCAUCCAGGUGAAAAAUAGGCCAAUUUAAAAGGCGGGACAAAUAACAAUGCCUAAGCAAGGCACAGGACACCAUUUUUGAAGGAUCGAAACGGCAACGAACAAAAAAAAAACCCACUCUGUUUUUAAAACUACCACAUAACACCUCCAAAAAGUGACCUGACAACACUUCAGGCAUAUAUACAUGAAAAUACUCUGACACACUUUGUUUCAAACUGUUAAGCUCCUAAAAUUCCCAAGUGGUUGAGCUUAUUGGUGCAAAGGAAUGUAACUAGCCACUGGCUGGCUGCAAUAGAUUUACAGAUUACACUGGGUUGGAAAGGUCAUUUUCUCCAACUCCCCUUCAGUCAGCAGGGACACCUCCAACUAGAGCAGGCUGCCCAGGAGCACAUCAAAUUUGAUCUCAGAUGUCUCCAGAGACAGGACCUCCACAACAUCCCUGGACAGCCUGUUCCAGUAUUUUAUCAUUGUAAAGAACUUCCUUCUAAUGUC